rnacentral:piRNA from 1 species
UNGUAGUGCCAUGUGCCUUCACAGUGCCCC